UACGUAGGGGGCGAGCGUUGUCCGGAUUCAUUGGGCGUAAAGAGCUCGUAGGCGGCUUGGCAAGUCGGGUGUGAAAACUUCAGGCUCAACCUGGAGCGGCCACUCGAUACUGCCAUGGCUUGAGUCCGGUAGGGGACCACGGAAUUCCUGGUGUAGCGGUGGAAAUGACGCAGAUAUCAGGAGGAACACCGGUGGCGAAGGCGGUGGUCUGGGCCGGAACUGACGCUGAGGAGCGAAAGCGUGGGGAGCGAACAGG
rnacentral:rRNA from 1 species